GAUGAACGCUGGCGGCGUGCCUAAUACAUGCAAGUCGAGCGAACAGACGAGGAGCUUGCUCCUCUGACGUUAGCGGCGGACGGGUGAGUAACACGUGGAUAACCUACCUAUAAGACUGGGAUAACUUCGGGAAACCGGAGCUAAUACCGGAUAAUAUAUUGAACCGCAUGGUUCAAUAGUGAAAGACGGUUUUGCUGUCACUUAUAGAUGGAUCCGCGCCGCAUUAGCUAGUUGGUAAGGUAACGGCUUACCAAGGCAACGAUGCGUAGCCGACCUGAGCGGGGGAUCGGCCACACUGGAACUGAGACACGGUCCAGACUCCUACGGGAGGCAGCAGUAGGGAAUCUUCCGCAAUGGGCGAAAGCCUGACGGAGCAACGCCGCGUGAGUGAUGAAGGUCUUCGGAUCGUAAAACUCUGUUAUUAGGGAAGAACAAAUGUGUAAGUAACUAUGCACGUCUUGACGGUACCUAAUCAGAAAGCCACGGCUAACUACGUG
rnacentral:rRNA from 1 species